CGCUAUCACUCCUACGGGAGACAGCAGUGGGGGAAUAUUGCACAAUGGGGGGAAAACCCUGAUGCAGCCAUGCCGCGUGUGUGAAGAAGGCCUUCGGGUUGUAAAGCACUUUCAGUAGGGAGGAAGGUAGUGUAGUUAACACCUGCAUUAUUUGACGUUACCUACAGAAGAAGCACCGGCUAACUCCGUGCCAGCAGCCGCGGUAAUACGGAGGGUGCGAGCGUUAAUCGGAAUUACUGGGCGUAAAGCGCAUGCAGGCGGCCUGUUAAGUCAGAUGUGAAAGCCCGGGGCUUAACCUCGGAAUUGCAUUUGAAACUGGCAGGCUAGAGUCUUGUAGAGGGGGUAGAAUUUCAGGUGUAGCGGUGAAAUGCGUAGAGAUCUGAAGGAAUACCAGUGGCGAAGGCGGCCCCCUGGACAAAGACUGACGCUCAGAUGCGAAAGCGUGGGGAGCAAACAGGAUUAGAUACCCUGGUAG
rnacentral:rRNA from 1 species